rnacentral:rRNA from 1 species
AUGAAUAUGAUUGCCUGGAACUAUCGAGGCUUGGGGUUGGACUCGACAGUUGGCGAACUUCGUGACCUGAUUAGGUCCCACAACCCAGCGGUGGUUUUUUUGAGUGAAACAAAGAAAAGUGACAGGGCUAUGGAUAAGCUGAAGUGGAGUUUGGGUUUCAGAAGUGGUGUGGCUAUUUGCUGUGUGGGCAAAAUUGGGGGUCUUGCGCUGUGGUGGAGAGAACAUGUGCAUGUAACGAUUAGGCCAUGGUGCCAAUACUUCCUAGAUGCGGAAGUGGUGUUGGAUGGUAAAACCUUUAGGAUCACUGGAUUCUAUGGGGAACCAUACACAAAUAAAAGGAAGAAGUCGUGGGAUGCUUUACGUUUCUUACGGAGACAGGACAAUCUACCUUGGCUAUGUGUGGGCGAUUUCAAUGAGGCCAUGUUCCAAUCCGACCAAUAG